rnacentral:rRNA from 1 species
GAAAGCCGGAUUAAUACCGCAUACGAUCUACGGAAGAAAGCGGGGGAUCGCAAGACCUCGCGCUAUAGGGGCGGCCGAUGGCAGAUUAGCUAGUUGGUGGGGUAAAGGCCUACCAAGGCGACGAUCUGUAGCUGGUCUGAGAGGACGACCAGCCACACUGGGACUGAGACACGGCCCAGACUCCUACGGGAGGCAGCAGUGGGGAAUUUUGGACAAUGGGGGAAACCCUGAUCCAGCAAUGCCGCGUGUGUGAAGAAGGCCUUCGGGUUGUAAAGCACUUUUGUCCGGAAAGAAAACCUUCGAGUUAAUACCUUGAGGGGAUGACGGUACCGGAAGAAUAAGCACCGGCUAACUACGUGCCAGCAGCCGCGGUAAUACGUAGGGUGCGAGCGUUAAUCGGAAUUACUGGGCGUAAAGCGUGCGCAGGCGGUUCGUUAAGACAGAUGUGAAAUCCCCGGGCUUAACCUGGGAACUGCAUUUGUGACUGGCGAGCUAGAGUAUGGCAGAGGGGGGUAGAAUUCCACGUGUAGCAGUGAAAUGCGUAGAGAUGUGGAGGAAUACCGAUGGCGAAGGCAGCCCCCUGGGCCAAUACUGACGCUCA